GAUGAAGAACGCAGCGAAAUGCGAUAAGUAAUGUGAAUUGCAGAAUUCAGUGAAUCAUAGAAUCUUUGAACGCACAUUGCGCCCGCCAGUAUUCUGGCGGGCAUGCCUGUCUGAGCGUCAUUUCAACCCUCAUGCCCCUAGGGCGUGGUGUUGGGGAUCGGCCAAAGCCCGCGAGGGACGGCCGGCCCCUAAAUCUAGUGGCGGACCCGUCGUGGCCUCCUCUGCGAAGUAGUGAUAUUCCGCAUCGGAGAGCGAUGAGCCCCUGCCGUUAAACCCCCAACUUUCCAAGGUUGACCUCAGAUCAGGUAGGAAUACCCGCUGAACUUAAGCAUAUCAUAAGCGGAGGA
rnacentral:misc_RNA from 1 species